rnacentral:lncRNA from 1 species
CUGCUGUCUACAAAUCCUUAUCGAGCUCCCACAGUGUGCAAGACGCCGUUCUACGGAAACAAAUAUAAAUAAGAUGUGGUCCUCGACUUCACAGCCUGAUGGGAGAGACAGAUACACAGAAACAGCUAUAAUAACGCAGCGCAAGCACAGGACGGAGACGGUACAGGACGUUAUGAGAUCACAGAGGAGAGGUACCAGGCUCCGCUGAGGGGUGAGCUGAGAGCAAAACAGAAAGAGAGAGGCCAGCAGAGGGGCUUCAGGUGGUGGAGUUGCUGUUGUUAUGUGUAUGCGUAGGAGUGAGAGAGAACAAUUUGAAAGGAAGGAGCAGUGGAGAGGAGAGAUGGACACUGUCUUUGUACCUGCUCCUGACUGCAGACCUGCUUGGAAGGCAGCAAGCAUAUGAUCCCAGAGGGUGAGGCAGAGCUGGAAAUGUCAGAGAUACCACGAGGAGGCACUAGAAUUCCACAUGGCUUCCCUCCGCCAAGAAAAGCCACAUCCAACGAAGUGUCUUGACCUGAGCUGGAGCCUCGUAACAGAUGCCUCACUGAGCCAAAAUGAGCAAGAAAGAGGAUUCGAAAAGAGGACUGUGGGGGAUAUUAAUGCAAGGAGACCACAGCGCUGCUAUGGCAAAGAGCGGAACGAUCACUUCAAAGGGACUCUGACACAGCCAAAUCCCCACUCCACCUCGGGACAGCAUCCCUCCCCUGCCCCCAGGAGCCACUUCCAAACAAUAGCAUAUUGUUCCCUCACCCCAGCUUUCUUCCUCCACUAAUGAAGCAGAAUACUCAGGCUCAUAAAAGAGGGAUUUCAUGCCACUGCCACAGUAUCUCCCCAUUGAAUCCUCUCUGCCUCAUUCAAUGAUAGAUUACAACCGCCAUAAACAUUAUUACCAUUUUCCCCUUUUCUUCCCAAGAUGUCACUGAAACUUUCAUCCCA